rnacentral:rRNA from 1 species
UGAGGAAUAUUGGUCAAUGGGCGCAAGCCUGAACCAGCCAUGCCGCGUGCAGGAUGACGGUCCUAUGGAUUGUAAACUGCUUUUGUACAGGAAGAAACACUCCCUCGUGAGGGAGCUUGACGGUACUGUAAGAAUAAGGAUCGGCUAACUCCGUGCCAGCAGCCGCGGUAAUACGGAGGAUCCAAGCGUUAUCCGGAAUCAUUGGGUUUAAAGGGUCCGUAGGCGGGUUUAUAAGUCAGUGGUGAAAGCCCAUCGCUCAACGAUGGAACGGCCAUUGAUACUGUAGAUCUUGAAUUAUUAGGAAGUAACUAGAAUAUGUAGUGUAGCGGUGAAAUGCUUAGAGAUUACAUGGAAUACCGAUUGCGAAGGCAGGUUACUACUAAUGGAUUGACGCUGAGGGACGAAAGCGUGGGUAGCGAACAG